rnacentral:rRNA from 1 species
GAUGAACGCUAGCUACAGGCUUAACACAUGCAAGUCGAGGGGCAGCAUGACGAUAGCUUGCUAUUGUUGAUGGCGACCGGCGCACGGGUGAGUAACGCGUAUCCAACCUUCCCGUUGCUAGGGGAUAACCUUGCGAAAGUAAGACUAAUACCCGAUGUUCCGCGUUUGCCGCAUGGCAAAUUCGGCAAAGAUUUAUUGGUAAAGGAUGGCGAUGCGUCCCAUUAGUUAGUUGGCGGGUAACGGCCCACCAAGACGACGAUGGGUAGGGGUUCUGAGAGGAAGGUCCCCCACAUUGGAACUGAGACACGGUCCAAACUCCUACGGGAGGCAGCAGUGAGGAAUAUUGGUCAAUGGGCGGAAGCCUGAACCAGCCAAGUAGCGUGCAGGAAGACGGCCCUAAUGGGUUGUAAACUGCUUUCAGUCGGGAAUAACUCGUCGGUCGUGACCGACGUUGCAGGUACCGUCAUAAGAAGGACCGGCUAAAUUCCCGUG